rnacentral:rRNA from 1 species
GACGAACGCUGGCGGCGUGCCUAAUACAUGCAAGUAGAGCGCUGAAGGAGGAGCUUGCUUCUCCGGAUGAGUUGCGAACGGGUGAGUAACGCGUAGGUAACCUGCCUGGUAGCGGGGGAUAACUAUUGGAAACGAUAGCUAAUACCGCAUAAGAGUAGAUGUUGCAUGACAUUUGCUUAAAAGGUGCAAUUGCACCACUACCAGAUGGACCUGCGUUGUAUUAGCUAGUUGGUGGGGUAACGGCUCACCAAGGCGACGAUACAUAGCCGACCUGAGAGGGUGAUCGGCCACACUGGGACUGAGACACGGCCCAGACUCCUACGGGAGGCAGCAGUAGGGAAUCUUCGGCAAUGGACGGAAGUCUGACCGAGCAACGCCGCGUGAGUGAAGAAGGUUUUCGGAUCGUAAAGCUCUGUUGUAAGAGAAGAACGAGUGUGAGAGUGGAAAGUUCACACUGUGACGUAUCUACCAGAAA